AUUUCCUGUCAGCUGUCAGUCGUGAGCUGUUAGUUGUACGAGCAGAAAGAAAAAAAAAUGUUUCUGUAAUGGGGAUGUAUGCGUAAAGACAGAAAUUCUGUUGCUCGGGCUCCUCUCAAUAAGGGAGAUGAGCAAGAUAUGUUGGGAGAGGAGAUGGAGGAGAAGAAAGGCGGAAACCUAUUGGUUAUUUGGCAAGAUAGACUUCAGGGAGAAUUUCGAUGCAUAUGGUUUAAGGAAAUUAUUCGGAGAAUGAACGAGUUGCCGUAUUGCACC